AUCUGGUCGUUGUUGAGCUAAUGUUUCACCACCCCUUUUACCGCUCCGUGCCGUGAGAGCGGGAGCCUGUAGAUGGGCAGUGAGACAAGGGCCCAGGCCCUACGGGGCGCAGCAGUCGCGAAAACUUUGCAAUACACGAAAGUGUGACAGGGCUAUCCCGAGUGCCAUCCGCUGAGGAAGGCUUUUACCCAGUCUAGAACGCUGGGGGAAUAAGGAGAGGGCAAGUCUGGUGUCAGCCGCCGCGGUAAUACCAGCUCUCCGAGUGGUGUGGAUGUUUAUUGGGCCUAAAGCAUCCGUAGCUGGCUAAGUUAGUCCCUUGUUAAAUCCACCGAAUUAAUCGUUGGAUUGCGGGGGAUACUGCUUGGCUAGGGGACGAGAGAGGCAGACGGUAUUCCCGGGGUAGGGGUGAAAUCCUAUAAUCCCGAGAAGACCACCAGUGGCGAAGGCUGUCUGCUAGAACGCGCCCGACGGUGAGGGAUGAAAGCUGGGGGAGCGAACCGGAUUAGAUACCCGGGUAGUCCCAGCUGUAAACGAUGCAGGCUAGGUGUUUGGACGGCCACGUGCCGUUCUAGUGCCGCAGGGAAGCUGUUAAGCCUGCCGCCUGGGGAGUACGAUCGCAAGAUUGAAACUUAAAGGAAUUGGCGGGGGAGCACCACAAGGGGUGAAGCUUGCGGUUUAAUUGGAUUCAACGCCGG
rnacentral:rRNA from 1 species